rnacentral:rRNA from 1 species
GAUGAACGCUGGCGGCAUGCCUAACACAUGCAAGUCGAUCGGUAAGGCUCUUCGGAGUACACGAGAGGCGGACGGCUGAGUAACGCGUAGGAACACACCCUGCAGUGAGGGAUAAGACACCGAAAGGUGUUCUAAUACCGCAUACGGUCUUCGGAUUAAAGCAUUUAUGCGCUGAAGGAGUGGCCUGCGUCAUAUUAGAUAGUUGGUGAGGUAAUGGCUUACCAAGUCGAUGAUGUGUAGCUGGUCUGAGAGGAUGAUCAGCCAGACUGGAACUGAGACACGGUCCAGACUCCUACGGGAGGCAGCAGUGAGGAAUAUUUCACAAUGAGCGAAAGCUUGAUGGAGCAAUGCCGCGUGCAGGAUGAAGGCCCUCGGGUUGUAAACUGCUUUUAUAAGAGAAGAUUAUGACGGUAACUUAUGAAUAAGGGACGGCUAACUACGUGCCAGCAGCCGCGGUCAUACGUAGGUCCCGAGCGUUAUCCGGAGUGACUGGGCGUAAAGAGUUGCGUAGGCGGUCAAGUUAGCGAGCGAUGAAAACUAUCGGCUCAACCGAUAGCUUGUUGUUCGAACUGCUUGACUCGAGAGUAUCAGAGGUCGCUGGAAUUCCUAGUGUAGCAGUGAAAUGCGUAGAUAUUAGGAAGAACACCGAUGGCGUAGGCAGGCGACUGGGAUAUUUCUGACGCUAAGGCACGAAAGCGUGGGUAGCGAACCGGAUUAGAUACCCGGGUAGUCCACGCCGUAAACGAUG